UACGGGGGGGGCAAGCGUUGUUCGGAAUUACUGGGCGUAAAGGGCGCGUAGGCGGCCUUCUAAGUCGGACGUGAAAUCCCUCGGCUUAACCGAGGAACUGCGUCCGAUACUGGAUGGCUUGAGUUUGGGAGAGGGGUGUAGAAUUCCCGGUGUAGUGGUGGAAUGCGUAGAUAUCGGGGGGAAUACCAGUGGCGAAAGCGGCACCCUAGCGUUAGCCUGACGCUCAUGUGCGAAAGCGUGGGGAGCGAACGGG
rnacentral:rRNA from 1 species